CCCUCGGAGAGUUAUAUCAAACUCAAGUAGCAGUAAUAUUGUGAAAGAGGACUCGUUGAACAGGGAA
rnacentral:ncRNA from 1 species